rnacentral:lncRNA from 1 species
UGUAAAACUCGAAGUGUGGGCACAGAAUUGAAUUCAGAUCUUCCAAGAUGAUAAGCAGUUUCUUUAUCAUAUGAUUUAUGUGCUUAUUUGUUAAUAUAAUUAUUUUUAAUAAUAUAUCUUUGUGACACAUUAUAACAUUGUUUGGCAAAUGCUAAGAAACAUAAUCAUUUUUCCAAUAAAAAGCCAAUGACUCUCAGAAUCAUCCAAAAAAAGUUAUUGCUUUACAAACUUCUUCACAAGAUAUUGCUUCUUUAAAAACUUGUUAGUGCAGUUAUGACUUCUUGCAACACUAUUAUGUUAAUGCAAGCAUUGGGUACAAAUUUUAGAAGGCUAUGCUCAUUGUGCAUGUGUAGAAAUGUUUGAGAGAUGGCAUUUAUCAGAUUGAUUGCAGGUGAGCUAUGGGUUAGCUUGAAGAUGAACCAACUGUCACUCAAAUUGUGCAGUUUUUGAUGUGGAAAAGUAUCAUUUUUCAUUUCUGGAAAGUUGCAAAAUGUAGAGAAAGUUGUGUGCAUACACAGAGGUGAUCAUGAAAAAGGUGCCACUCAAGAGGACUGAUAUCUCUUUCUUGGCAAGAAGGAACAGGAUAGCAACCCUCAUCCAGUUAAUUGCAGACCUUGCACAUGACACAGGCACUCUUGUCUUCCUAAUCAGCAGGUGAUUGAACAGCAUCAGGUUAUAUGCCAGAAAAUUUGCCAGAUGUAUUCAAUUGUUUAUCAGCUAUCAGAAAAAAAGAUUAAAAUAGUGCAGAAAGUAUGUAGAUUGGAAUGCCAAUUAGUAGUACAAAGAUUCAAAGUGGUGUUCUCAGAUAAGUCCAGAUUCAGUCUGAGCAUGAUUCUGGACAUCAGCUGUUGGUGUGAAUAUGGAACACAUCAUGCAGAACUAAACAUAAUGAAACAUGAUUGUUAUAGGAUCCUGGUGUCAUGGUUUGGAUAGGCCUUAUGAUUACACUGAACAUAUUUUUUUAGAAAAAAUAAUCAAACAAAUAAUGACAAAUCAAAAAUUAUUUCAUAAUAAGAAAAAGCAGGUUGUGUUUGUUUCACUAACCUGAAAGCCCUAUAAUAUUUAUUAUAAAAUAUAAUAAACAAUAUCAAUAAUAAACAAC